AUUGAAACACCAGUUCCCAUACAAUCUCCAAAGUUAAGCAAUAUAGAGCCUGUUCAGUACCUAAAUGGGUGACUUCUUAGGUAUAGCUGGUACUGUAAG